GCUUACCAUGCAAGUCGAACGGUGAACACGGAGCUUGCUCUGUGGGAUCAGUGGCGAACGGGUGAGUAACACGUGAGCAACCUGCCCCUGACUCUGGGAUAAGCGCUGGAAACGGCGUCUAAUACUGGAUACGAGUAGCGACCGCAUGGUCAGUUACUGGAAAGAUUUAUUGGUUGGGGAUGGGCUCGCGGCCUAUCAGCUUGUUGGUGAGGUAAUGGCUCACCAAGGCGUCGACGGGUAGCCGGCCUGAGAGGGUGACCGGCCACACUGGGACUGAGACACGGCCCAGACUCCUACGGGAGGCAGCAGUGGGGAAUAUUGCACAAUGGGCGCAAGCCUGAUGCAGCAACGCCGCGUGAGGGAUGACGGCCUUCGGGUUGUAAACCUCUUUUAGCAGGGAAGAAGCGAAAGUGACGGUACCUGCAGAAAAAGCGCCGGCUAACUACGUGCCAGCAGCCGCGGUAAUACGUAGGGCGCAAGCGUUAUCCGGAAUUAUUGGGCGUAAAGAGCUCGUAGGCGGUUUGUCGCGUCUGCUGUGAAAUCCGGAGGCUCAACCUCCGGCCUGCAGUGGGUACGGGCAGACUAGAGUGCGGUAGGGGAGAUUGGAAUUCCUGGUGUAGCGGUGGAAUGCGCAGAUAUCAGGAGGAACACCGAUGGCGAAGGCAGAUCUCUGGGCCGUAACUGACGCUGAGGAGCGAAAGGGUGGGGAGCAAACAGGCUUAGAUACCCUGGUAGUCCACCCCGUAAACGUUGGGAACUAGUUGUGGGGUCCAUUCCACGGAUUCCGUGACGCAGCUAACGCAUUAAGUUCCCCGCCUGGGGAGUACGGCCGCAAGGCUAAAACUCAAAGGAAUUGACGGGGACCCGCACAAGCGGCGGAGCAUGCGGAUUAAUUCGAUGCAACGCGAAGAACCUUACCAAGGCUUGACAUAUACGAGAACGGGCCAGAAUGGUCAACUCUUUGGACACUCGUAAACAGUGGUGCAUGGUUGUCGUCAGCUCGUGUCGUGAGAUGUUGGGUUAAGUCCCGCACGA
rnacentral:rRNA from 1 species